rnacentral:rRNA from 1 species
GACAGAGGUGCCAAGCGUUAGGCGGAAUCACUGGGCUUAAAGCGUGUGUAGGUGGAUUUGUAAGUACCUUGUGAAAUCCCAUGGCUCAACCAUGGAACUGCUCGGUAUACUGCGAAUCUUGAGCCACUUAGGGGCUACCGGAACAAAUGGUGGAGCGGUGAAAUGUGUAGAUAUCAUUUGGAACGCCAAUGGUGAAAACAGGUAGCUGGGAGUGUGCUGACACUGAGACACGAAAGCCAGGGGAGCGAACGGG